AACGAACGCUGGCGGCGUGCCUAACACAUGCAAGUCGAACGGGGUGAGGGAGCUUGCUUCUUCAUCUAGUGGCGCACGGGUGAGUAACGCGUGGAUAAUCUGCCCGAUGCUCUGGGAUAACAUCUCGAAAGGGGUGCUAAUACCGGAUAAGCCCACGGACUCUUCGGAGUUUGCGGGAAAAGGGGGGGACCGUAAGGCCUCCCGACAUCGGAUGAGUCCGCGUACCAUUAGCUAGUUGGUAGGGUAAAGGCCUACCAAGGCUACGAUGGUUAGCUGGUCUGAGAGGACGAUCAGCCACACUGGAACUGAGACACGGUCCAGAAUCCUACGGGAGUCAGCAGUGGGGAAUUUUGCGCAAUGGGGGCAACCCUGACGCAGCAACGCCGCGUGAGUGAUGAAGGCCUUUGGGUCGUAAAGCUCUGUCAGAGGGAAAGAACUGUGGGCGGCUAAUAUCCGUUCCACUUGACGGUACCCUCAAAGGAAGCACCGGCUAACUCCGUGCCAGCAGCCGCAGUAACAC
rnacentral:rRNA from 1 species